GAUGAGAGACAGGGGCGUCCGUUGCAAGACGGGCUGAGAAGUACCCUUCGAACCUGAACCGGAUAAUGCUGGCGGAGGGAGUCGCUCGGAGCCUGCU
rfam:Rhizobium yanglingense strain CCBAT 01603 genomic scaffold C611, whole genome shotgun sequence.